rnacentral:lncRNA from 1 species
AUGUCAUCAAUACGUCAGAUUACUGCUUUACUCGUGCUCGGUUGCCUCGCCAUCACCUGCACAGCGAUGGCAACGGGCACCGAAACCAGCGAUGGCGCCCCCCGAAAAGAAGAAAUCCCUCUGAAAGAAGGAAUCCCCCGCAAAGAAGAGAGCCCCCAGAAAUCCCCGCAUGAUUUGAACAGUUUCUUCGGAGCGAGUCACCACCCCCUUUCAUUCUCUUACUUCGACGCGACCGCUCAAUCCACACCGACCGCGCCGAAGCCAGAAGCACAAACCAGAGCAGUGGCCGCACCCUCAGCGACGGAAUCUUCGUCCAACAGCCCAGCCGUCAACGCCAUCCCGUCCCUGGACAAGAUCCCGUCUGGCAACGAGAGCCCCUUCAGAGUGAUGUCCGGCACCACGAUGGACACGAUCCAGCAGGCCAUCCGCGACUUGAAGCUGACCAUCGCCGAGAUGGACGAGAAGUUGGACCGCGUCGUCCAAAAGGUGGCGCCCGAAGGGAAAGUGUCCAUGAUGCGCCAAGGGACCGAGAUAUUCAGGAAGCUCUUCCGGGUCCCACCGUCGAAAACUCCCGACCCCUUGAAAACGGCAACUGAGAGAGGCUAUGGAUACGGUGGUGGGAGUGACGGGUACCAGAGGGGUAUCGGUCUCAGUUGGUGAGGUCUUGCUGAAGAAGAAGCGGAAAGAGUGACCUAGAAUAAAGAUGGGUACUCGCAUAUCGGUCCUGCGCAAAGUAGCUAGAGAAUGGACAAUUCACCAGAUGCAUAGAUUUAGAAGAAGCCGAUAGCCUGUGUUACACUAUCAAAAUAAUCCAUCGAAAUGUCAUGGUCAAGUGCUGUGAUUGGUCCAAGUCAUCGAAUUAGCCAAUCAGAACCCCUGACCUUGAUAUUUUUUGAUGGCUAGCUUUAAUAGUGUGAUAGAGGCUAAUUCAAGGGCGAAGUUCCGCGAAAGGACUUAGCUCACUUUUGAACCCGAAUUAACAGAAGUGACUAAUGAAAAAAAACAAAAAAAAUCAAUAGAGGUAAAAUAUAAACUCUACAAUUUGAUGACUACCUCGGGGGUAUGUAGUCGUUAUUGCUGCCAACAUGGAAAUUGAAUUUUGCAGGCACUUGGCCGCUCAGAGAGAGGGAGAGAGAGAGAGAGAUCUGUUUUUUUGUCAUGGGGGUUGGCAGUGAGUCAAAAACUGAACCAAAACUUCUCGCGGAAAUCUGCCGAACCGGAUUGUCCAUUCCAAAGCGCGCAAAAGUACGUCCGCUUGGGAGUUUUCAUUGAAGUUUUUCUGAUUGAAGAAACUUGAUUUAUCCAAAGUUUGAGGCACCUAAAUGAUUAUAAAAUUAAUGAAAUUCCAAAAACUGACAGUAAUUUAAGGGGUAUCCAACUGGAAAGAGCACCAAUACUCAUUUGACCUGCUCGUGAUUUUGAACGAUCAAAAUAAGCGGACAGUCCAUUUUCGACAGUGCGAUUACCCAUGUUUGCUAUAGGUUGCGCUAGUAUCGAGUAGAUAGGGUUGAUAAUCGGUGAUGCCAUUUCAGCUGAAUCUAAUGAAAAGGAAGGAAGGGGGGGGGGGGGGGGUUAAACAUUUCUACACAUACACUAGAGUUGACCUACAUGGUUUGAAAAUCAGGAAAAUUGUUAAGUGGCAUCUCACCAUACCUGCUUCUGCAAAUAAAUUGUAUCAAUCGAUUCUAUAAUAGUGCUGAUUUAUAUCGACGGUGUAAGUCGGCAAUCACAUAACUCAGUUUGUGACGUCGCAGAUUUCCUGUCAUACUUUAUUUUUUAAACGGAAAACUACUGAACGGCAAUUCUUUAAAACUGCCGUGAUUUUUCUUCUUUGUGCGAAGAAAAUUCUGCAAAAUCUUCAAGGAAUGAUGUCAAUUUGUGCUCCUUUAAAAGAAAUAACAUAGAGGCGGAGAUUUUCAGACACCGCAAACUAGUUAUGUGAUUGCCGACUUACACCGUCUAUAUGCCAUAUCAGUGCCUCAGAACCAAAAGGUACCUUACUCACAUUUUUUGAAAAUUAAGUUUUUGGCGUUUUCGAAAUUCCCAUCAACGGUUCCGUGUUUGUAGAAAAUUUGAUAGCCCUAUUUUACGUCGGUCAUGAGAUACGGAGUUUCAAAAAUUGCGAUUCACAUUGGAACCAAAGGGGCUGACGCGUGGUUUGCCCCUGAUAUCUCGUAAAUACUACAAUUGAGUUAGGUACCUUUUGCCUCUACCGAUAUUGUGAACUUAACGUGGUUCAUAAUUUACAUUCAAGUAACAUCGCAGUUACUGGUGGGAUGUUUGACUUCCUCUCCGCUCCUCUCGAAUAAUAAAGAAAAAGAGAAAUAGAAUUCAUUUCUUCUUGAAUAGCUAAAUGAGAAACGGGGAAAAUACUGUUCGGGGCUCCUCUUAAAAAAAUAAGAAUUUGAAAUUAUAUCCGUCUUUCCUUUCUCCUCUUUUAUUACAGUUAGCGAUCUUUUGGUCUCUUUUGACCCUACCCUCAAAAUUAUAAGGUUGUUUUUACUAUAGAUGUUUGGUCUAAUUUUAGUCCCUCUGGAUCCUCGGUGGAGUUUUACAAAUGUUUUCAAAUGAAAACAGCAGACAUAACUUUAUUGGACAUCAUUUUCCCCCGUCAGUCAUUAAUUACUACGAAAGUUUUAUUCGUUUAUAGUCUAUUUUCCUUUGAGACAUGCGUGGAGCAUCCUUUUUUUCUCCUGUAUUUACCUAUUUUUCUUUUUUUGUAACGGUCUCAUGCUCAUGCAUCAAAGUCAAACUUUGAUUCAUAGAUGACAAUGAGUAGUAGAAAGUCAGGGGUCAAAUUAUGAAAAUGUGCAAUAUCUUUCAAGAAAAAACUCCGUAGUGCAUAUCGUCUAAGCUUUUUGAUUACUAUAAGCGAGUCUGUUUUUCCCCAUUAAUUGUUUUUACAUUUUAUUGUGUUAGAUCUCGAAUAUUACAAUUGGUAUGUUAACACUCAAUGGUUUGAAUUUAUCUAAAAGUGUAAAAGAUAAAAAACUUUGCAGUUUCAUCCAUGGAUUUGGCCAUGCAUUUUCGCAUUAUGUAGCAUUGAAUAUAAUCGUGAAUUUUCAUAAGUUAUUUUUCUUUUAGUCCUGAAUUAUUUUUUUUAUCAUUGCUGUAUUUUUAAAAUAGGGAAACUUUUUUGAAUGAUCUUUUGUGAAUUAAAAGAAGUGGAAAGUAGUGAAAGUUGUCAAUGUCAUUUUUUAUCUUUUUAUCGACGGUGAAACUACCAAACCACGUAUCUCGUUUGCGAUGAUUAAAAAUCUCCGCUCCCAUUUUAUUUAUCUGUCUUUUUUUUUUUUUUGACGAGGAACAAAUCAUCAUCUUUUUUUGAAAUUUUCACGGAGUUUACUUCGCACAUCGAAGAAAAUACACCGAAGUUUUCAAGAAUCGACUUAGAGUAGUUUUCCAUUUAAAAAAUAAAGUUUUACGCAGGAAGUCUACAACGUCGCAAACCGAGGUACGUGGUCUGGUAGUUUCAUCGUCGAUAUAUUUUCCAAAAGCCCUCGAUAGAAAAAAGUUUAUUCAUGCAAAAAAAAAAAUUGUUUCUUUUGCAUGAGAGGUUAACUGCCUCUUAAACUUAUCGACGGUGAAACUACCAAACCACGUAUCUCGUUUGCGGGGUUUCAAAAUCUACGCUCGCAUUUUAUUUUUUUGAAGUAGACCAAAUCAAUAUCAUUCCUUGAAAUUCUCACAGAAUUUUCCCCGUACGAAGAGGAAAUAUCACAGAAAUUUUCAAGACUGGACGUUGAGUAGUUUUUCAUUUAAAAAAUAAAGUAUGACAGGAAGUCUGCAACGUCGCAAACCGAGAUACGUGGUUUGGUAGUUUCACCGUCGUUAUGGAAGUAGGUAUAGACCGUUUUUCAACUCAUUUAAAUCUUAGAGCACGAGGUACCUAUAAUGCUUGCUACUUAUUUAACUUUCCCAUUUGUGGAGUCCGGCCGUGCAUUUUGUGUGCACCGCCGAGCCGCAUUUCAUGAAAGUAGUGCUUAUCUUGUCCACGCGUGUAUGUAUUACAGGCACGGCUAAUUGAGGUAUAAGUAAGGCGUUGAGUUAUGUCUUAUCAAUCACAGAAUAUUUCGCUUGACCAUUAGGUAAUUAUUAUGCAUUAUUCCACGCUGGUUCCUGUGGAUAUCCGAGGUGUGACUUCACGGAGGGAAAAAUGUGUGUUAUUUUUUGUCCCGUCCACUGUUCGUUCCGUCCGAUUGAUAGCAACAUAUUAAUGUUCAUUUCCGGUAAGUAUCUUUCAUUUUAACUUAGCUGAGGAUCCUAGUAAUCAAUGAAGGCUGAGGGGUGAAUAAAAAACCAAGAUUUUCUCUCCUUUGUAUUCUAAAAAGUAAAAAUAGGAAUUCAAAAGGUAAACUUAUAGAAAAAUAAAAGGUAAAAAAAACCAAAACACGCACCCAAACAAACCAUCGGGCAGUAGGUGACGUACUUAUCAUAUGAGACUUGAGAAAUUCCCCUCCAGUCUCAAAUGCAACUAUCCAUACAGACUGCACUGGCCUUGCUGGAAUGAUUGCUUCUUUCAGUGUAUUUUAUUUAUGAAUUUCAAAGAUUUAAAUUGAAAAAAAAGAAGAAAAAAAAUUGUUUAAUUUAUCUUCUUUAGAGGAUCACUAGAAAGGCCAUCAUAUUCUCAUUCACGAAGAAUGUGGCUGACAUUUUUUUCUUUUUUUUUUCUUUUUUCUUUUUUUUAAAAUUAAUUUCAAAAUACGACUCGCAAGUGAGGUAUCAUUGUUGUCUACACUUUGUGAAUGUAAACCCUCUUCUUACCAUAAUGCCAAUAUUUGUAUGAUGUUACAAAAUUCCAU